UACAGGGGGGGCAAGCGUUGUUCGGAAUUACUGGGCGUAAAGGGCUCGUAGGUGGCCAACUAAGUCAGACGUGAAAUCCCUCAGCUUAACUGGGGAACUGCGUCUGAUACUGGAUGGCUUGAGUUUGGGAGAGGGAUGCGGAAUUCCAGGUGUAGCGGUGAAAUGCGUAGAUAUCGGGAAGAACACCCGUGGCGAAGGCGGCUCUCUGGGACGGUACUGACGCUGAGACGCGAAAGCGUGGGGAGCGAACAGG
rnacentral:rRNA from 1 species